AAUCGCUUCCAACAGGGUUGUUGCCGUCGGUUACAAAUGGAAGACAUCUUCUGACCAAGAUGCCAUAACAUCCUUAGAACCAGUCAUAGCAGAACAUAGCACAGCAAAAAAAGUACAUCACUCCGACAAAAAAAAAAUAAGCAAUCAACGGCUGUAAACUUACUUAUGCACGUGCAGAUGUGACGGGGCCUGUGCUGACCACGACUGACGAUGCCACCAGUGCCUCUAGGGCUCGAUGCGACGCGUAACUAGGCGCAUUGCUAAGUAGCUUUAACUACAGUGAUGCGGCUUGUGCCUUCUUUGAACUCCUCCGCGCGAUACGGACAGGCAGAGUUCCUGCCAGCUCAGAGGAGCAACGCUAGUUGGCACUGAGCCUUGCCCACCGCGAAUAAAGGAUUCAAUCGGGAUGCGGUUGAGUUUCGAAACGCAGCAAGAAAACUCGUUAAUAGCUUACGUCCGAAGCUGGACGUGACGGUAGCGUCUGUCCUUUCGAACGUAUGGAACUGCUCGAUCACCACAUAACUAAUAGAUAUAAUAUACGAAAAAGAUGCGAUGAUCUAUGCGGACACGGUAUUCUAGUGUGAGGAGCCUUGUAACGGUGAGACCGCUAUUCUCUUCAAACAACACAUCAAUACUCUAUAAACAACCGGGUGGAAUCAACGGGUUUAAUUUAAAGAUCUGUACUAGGUGGCAUUUAACGUUCUUAUUCCGUAUAUUCAGAUACGUUAGCCUGAGAACUCAAUGGCUUCUUAUAUCUGAUGCC